rnacentral:rRNA from 1 species
AUUGAACGCUGGCGGCAGGCCUAACACAUGCAAGUCGAACGGUAACAGGAAGAAGCUUGCUUCUUUGCUGACGAGUGGCGGACGGGUGAGUAAUGUCUGGGAAACUGCCUGAUGGAGGGGGAUAACUACUGGAAACGGUAGCUAAUACCGCAUAAUGUCGCAAGACCAAAGAGGGGGACCUUCGGGCCUCUUGCCAUCGGAUGUGCCCAGAUGGGAUUAGCUAGUAGGUGGGGUAACGGCUCACCUAGGCGACGAUCCCUAGCUGGUCUGAGAGGAUGACCAGCCACACUGGAACUGAGACACGGUCCAGACUCCUACGGGAGGCAGCAGUGGGGAAUAUUGCACAAUGGGCGCAAGCCUGAUGCAGCUAUGCCGCGUGUAUGAAGAAGGCCUUCGGGUUGUAAAGUACUUUCAGCGGGGAGGAAGGGAGUAAAGUUAAUACCUUUGCUAAUUGACGUUACCCGCAGAAGAAGCACCGGCUAACUCCGUG